UGCCAGCCGCCGCGGUAAUACGGAGGGGGCAAGCGUUAACCGGAAUUAUUGGGCGUAAAGGGCGCGUAGGCGGACUGAAAAGUCAGAUGUGAAAGCCUACUGCUUAACAGUAGAAUAGCAUUUGAAACUCUUAGUCUUGAGGAUAGGCGGCGGAAGUGGAAUUCUGAGUGUAGUGGUGAAAUUCGUAGAUAUUGGGAAGAACACCAGUGGCGAAGGCGGCUAACUGGCUCGGUACUGACGCUGAGAUGCGAAAGCGUGGGGAGCAAACAGGAUUAGAUA
rnacentral:rRNA from 1 species